GCCCACCUGUAAAUACAAAAAGACAAAUAACACACGUUUCCUAAAAUGAGCAUUCCCGCUAAAUUUUGUCAUCGUGUGUCGUAUGAUUGAUGGAGGCCAAUCGGAAAGCACAAAGCGUGACGAUGAGAAUUCAAAUUUAUCCUUUCCACUGUCCUCAGCUCAACGGUGAUAACAUUCAAACGUUUGGGUCAUCAACGUGUAAAUUCUCUUCAGAUUACAAAUGUAGGAAAAUGUCACCUUUUCAUGAAGGGCUACGAACAUCAUUCUACGAAUGCAUUUUCUUUUGGGUAUGGCUAUAACACUCUACGUGAGAAAGCACCAGUUUCCGAGUUGCAAAGAUGUUCCUUCAGCCCUCCCGCAUGUUCAAAACAAAUGAUUAGAAAUGAAGUUUUUCUUAAAAAAAAAAAAAA